rnacentral:rRNA from 1 species
UACGGAGGGGGCUAGCGUUGUUCGGAAUUACUGGGCGUAAAGCGCACGUAGGCGGCUUUGUAAGUUAGAGGUGAAAGCCCAGAGCUCAACUCUGGAACUGCCUUUAAGACUGCAUAGCUUGAAUCAUGGAGAGGUUAGUGGAAUUCCGAGUGUAGAGGUGAAAUUCGUAGAUAUUCGGAAGAACACCAGUGGCGAAGGCGACUAACUGGACAUGUAUUGACGCUGAGGUGCGAAAGCGUGGGGAG